AACUGACCUAGGCAGUGUGAGGCCCAAGGGUGAGUCCUUAACCAAUCAGGUAAACAGCUUCAUUUAUUUUCCAUUUAAAGAAAUGGUUUUAACUUUACAGAAAACAUUUAGUUUCAAUUACAACAUGAAAACUGGCAAAACAUUCCACAAAACUUUAGUUUAAAUCUUGUCACAAUAGAUGCCAUUAAAAGGAUAGACUCUGUAUGGCAUAAAGAUCUCUGAGUUCCUAUUAUAUUGCCAACCAUCUACACAAUUUGAUUCAAUAAAAUGCUAGUCAUACAGAAAAAGUAAAGUUAUCCCUUCACAGCACCUUGUAAUCACAGAUACAAGACCCCCAGUAGAGGCCUGAAACCAGGAAUAUAGUUUCAGAUAUGGUUUUUCCUUUACAUACAUACCCAUGAUUAAAUUUAAUUUAUAAAUCAGUUGUUGUAAAAGAUUAACAACUAAUAAUAAAAUAGCACAAUUAUAACUGCAAUAAAAGGUAUGUGAAUGUGGCAUCUCGCUCUCUCAAAAUAUCUUAAUAUUUUCAGACUGCAGGUGACCAUGGGUAACUGAAACCUUAGGAAGUGUAACUGCUGAUGGGGGGAACUGGUUUAUAGUCACUCACUUAAUGAUGGGGAUACAUUGUCAGGAAUGUGUCACGAGGCAAUUCUGUCACUGCACAAACAUCAUCGUGUGUAUCUGCACACACAUAGAUGGUGUCGCCUACUACAAACCUAGGCUAUAUGGUACGUCCUAUUGUUCCCAGGCUACAAACCCUCACAGCAUGCUGCUGCACUGAAUACCGCGGGCAACUGUAACACGACACAUAUCUAAACAUAGAAAAGGUGCAGCAAAAAUAUGGUAUGAAGGAUUAAAAUGGCACACUCGCCUAGGGCACUUAUAAUGAAUGGAGCCUGCAGGACUGGAAGUGGCUCUGGGUGAGUCAGUGAGUGAGUGGACCUAAAGGCCUAGGACCUGACUGGACGCUGUUAUAAGACUGGUAGCACGGCGGGUUCGUUUACAGCAGUAUUACCACAAACAUGUGACUAAUGCAUUGUGCUACGGCGUUACAAUGGCUACAGCAUCACUAGGUGACAGGAAUUGUUCAGCUUCAUCAUAAUCUUCUAGGACCAAGGUCAUUUAUGCAGAGCGUAGUUUAUGCAGUCCAUCACUGGCCAAAAUGCUUCUCCUCUCAUUUUUAAUGUCAUGGAUACUACUUCGAUAGUAAAGGCAGAAUUCUCAGAGUGGUUGAACCCAUCUGAGGACAGCCUCUAUGAAAAGCUGUGAACUGUCUGAAGAUUCAGACCACAUCACAUCACGCUGAUCGACAGAUCAUAUGCUUUUCUUUGCUCAACUUCUUCCCCAAGCUUAAACUUCUGCUACUCUGUACUCCCGGUCCAGUUCUGCUUUCUCUUCUGCAGAAUGUGAACUCCCAAACACCAGAGCAUUGCCUUCCACAACCUCUCUUCCCAUACCCAACUGGUUUCCAUGGAAAUAACACCAAGUCCCUCAGCCAGCUCCUUCCCACUGGCUGCACUGUCCUUGCUAUUUCUAUACAAGCAGCUUGUGAACUCUACCAACAAGGACCACAUCUAUACUGUCUUCCUCAACUCAGAUGCACACUCUCCUUUAAUCAGACCACUCAGCUCAGCAGAGAGUCCCACAGUGAGUGUUAUCCACAACUCAGCAACAUUCUACAAUCAAACCAUCAGGCCCAGCAGGAAACGGGGAGCAGCAGAAGUCACAUACAAGGCGAAUGACUUUAGAAGAUCUCUGCUUUUAAAGCAAAGUCUGUGGCAGAAACAUACCCUAUUUUUCUAAUUUAAUUUAACAAGGGCAUUAAUUUAACCAUACAAACCAAGCACACAGUCAGAAUAUUUCCCAUAAAGAAAGCUCAGAUACUGUUUUGCUCCUGACUGUAACCUCACUGCUUCUGCUGAAACUAUCCUGGAGAACUGCAGUCAGUCCACGCCUGUUCAGAAGCACAGAGGUUCCAUUUUAACCUCAUUUGCUUGAAAUUUCAUAAUAUCCUGAAAGGUGUUGGCAGAUUACCAAUUAGAAGGAAGCACACAAGUAACAGACUGUCAGCCAACCCAGAGACAGGAAGGUGUUUCUACUUUCCUGCUACUGUUCCAGCAAGGGCCACAUUCAAAACCCACCCUGGUCAAGACGAAACCAAUCGAGGGGCAGCAAUGAAGAAGUGAAUCUAACCCCAGGGCGAAACAGCCGCCUGGAGUUCAAAAAGCUUAAAACAGAGAUGCAGAGCCAUCUCCACUGAGUGAGUUCUAAACGUCUGUCCAAAAAUGAAAAAUAAAAAAUUCAAAAUACAAUGUCAUAGGGAUACAGAUAGAGAAUAUCUUUAAACUGACAUUGGUAUCUUAACAUGACACCUCUCAGAGUUUUCAUAUAUGCCAUCGCUGAAUGCUUGCAAAACCACAAUAACUUGCAAGACGUAAUUUGGAGUUCUUUCCUUUUAAAAAUAGCUAGCAUCUGAAGUAUGUAAAAUUCUAUGAUCAAAAUAUAUGGUAUGCUCAAUCUCUUAAAGAAAAUAAAACUUAGAAAACUGGGUUCCUUCCCUUCAACACAAAACAUCUCCAUGAAGUAUCACUCUGUCCCUUCCUCAUUUAUUGCCAUAUAUCCAAACUCUUUUAAAAUAUAUCUUAGUUUCCUCAGUCCCUGUAAAUCUUGGGGUUAUACUAAUGGUCAUGUAACUAUUAAACAUUUUAUUACUGGCCUGCAAUUAAUAAUCAGCACAUAAAGCAAGAUAAAGGCAGGAUGGGAUCAGUAAUACUAAAAGUAGGCAUGUGUGAAUCUGUAAUUUGGUUUCCUUAAAAGACAGAAACCUAGUUGGUGACACGUAAGUGAAAUUCACAUAACAAGAUACCUGUUCACUAGCUAGAGAAAUGUUUCUCUGAGUCUAUAGCAAGCAACAAAUCUAACACGUUGGAGACAAAGAGAAUGUUAAGUGUUUCCAACCUGAACAUUCAAAAAAGAUUUUCCUACUUUCGACACGCACCCAAGUCCUCUAACAGAAUAUUCAAGAAACCACCUGGCUCACUACUGCCCCUCAACAGUAUCAGACAGUGCUUCAGCUCAUACAUAUCCAGCACAGACACCUUCAGAAAUCCAGACCAGUCUCCUAAACUAAGGAGGAAGGGAAAAAACAGCAAGGAAGAGGAGCAAGGAGGCAGGGUUCCCACACUGGACCUUGGCAGCAGAACGUCAAGAGCCUAAGGUAACCACUGCCGUCAACGACUUGCUGUUGCCUACACUAAAAGAGAAACAAUCUGAUUUGCAUGAAGACUCCUAUCCCGAGCUGAAGGCUGGGGAAGCACAUGAGUUUGACACAGCAUGGCCAGAGCUUAUACAGGAAGUACUUCACUUCCUAUUCUAACAAACCCACAAAGCUGUGGAUAAAGAUACAGGGCCGACAAAUACAAAUAAAUAGAAGCAGGGAAAUGCCCAACGUCAGCCUUUGGUUUUCCGAGAGGUAUGCAGGGUCUGGAAGGAAGCCCGGUGUAUGGAGAGGGAUCCGGCUGGAAGCUCUAAGUCAAACAUGACAUCUAAGUCGACGUCAGAGCUCAGGGAACCAGGGCAGGCAAUGGGGACUGCGUAACAGAGGUCACCUGGAAUAGAGAGGAGGCCACGCUACCCUAAGAAAGCUGCCAUGAAGGGCCUGGGCCAGAUUCCUGCCCCAGCGCUGACCAACAGGCUGUGUGAGACACAGUCUCUCCCACCUCAACUUCCUCGACAAAACUCGGCUAGCCUACAAGGUCAUCGUGAGGAGAAAACCACCACCAGGAACACAGAGCUACCGAAACAGACUAUGAUCUACAGCUUUCAUUUGAAUCCAGAGAGAGAUUUGGACUGCUUAAAAACUAAAUUUACAAAAAAAGCACACAGCAGGCAUGAAGAAGGUGAGAGCCCUGACAGCAAGACCCUCCUGACCUUCCCUCUAGGCCACAGCCCACAGGCAACUCAACUGUGAAGGCCAGUUUUUGCUGUCACACAUUCCUGAAAACAGAGCUCGGGCCAGUACUUCCACCACCUCCCUCACUUCCUACACCUCUCCCUGUGAAGGAUGACACUCCUAGGAUCUGCUUCCUCUUCCUGGACAACUUGCCCUCCAGAUGUACUGAAUAAUGGUUCCCUUAGGGGAUCGAAAAGCACACAAAAGGAAAAAGAAAACUCCCACCAAAGGCCUGCAGCUGGCUGAAGGGCCAGGUUCACAGAGCACCUGGGAUUUUCCCCACCCGGAAGGAUUCACAGGGAAGUACACCUCUGCCCUGGCUAACACGGAGACAAAAAUAGGCUUAUGACGCAUUGCUUUGGGCACCUCGAAAACCUAAGCCACCGUACUUUUUUUUUUUUUAAGUUGCACAGCAAGGUGGAAUUUAUGAAGCACUUUCACGUCAAAGCCACUGGCCUGGACACUUCUGUUCCCACCUACAACAGCAUCCAUUCCUCCACCCUCCAGGGAGGCCUGGGGGAGGCCUAAGUGAGCACAGGAGCCCCCGACCAUGUGCAAGUUAGCUGAGACUUCCUGAUCCUACCACAGGGAAACAGGGAGGACGGCUCUUCUUGCCCUGGAACCAUGACAGCCCCCUUUCUCCCAGCCUAGCCUGGGACCAAGCCACCACAAGCAGGAGGGUGACCUCCGGCCCCCACCCAAACUCCACACCUCGAAUUAUCAAGCUCCUCAAUGUUCGGGGGAAUCUGAGUCAGGAAGGACUCCUCAAGGCGCAAACCUCAGAAAUGCAGAAUUUGGGAUGCAAAACGGACCCGGAAAUCAGGGAGUCCAGUGGCUUUGAAACUUUUUUAAACAGUGGAAACGUUUCUUUCUCAUGAGGAAGUGCCAAUCAUGAAACAGAUGAAGAAGAAAUGCUCUCUGGUUGAGGCAGAAACCCCAAGACACUAAUGGAGAGCUCUGGGAGGCCGAGAAACAGGCUAUAAAAAUAAAUCCCUGAUGCAAGGCAGCAUCUGUAACUUACAGAUAAAGCAACUGCUACCACUACAGCACCGAUGAACACCGAGGACGUGCCAGGCAUUCGAAUGUCUCCCAAUUCCCACACCUAGCCUACAACACGGUCAGCAUCCCACGCCUAGCCUACAACGUGGUCAGCAUCCCACGCCUAGCCCAGGACACAGCCAGCAUCCCACGCCUAGCCUACGACACGGUCAGCAUCCCACGCCUAGCCUACGACACGGUCAGCAUCCUGACUGGACACACACGGAAAGGAAGACCUCAGAGGUUCUGUGACUUGCCCAAAGCCUGUGAGGGGAGGAGUCUGGAUUCAAACCCAGGAAAGUGACUUCCAAAACUAACUCCCUAAUGAGAGGUUUUCAAGUAGGAAACAGAGAAAGAAAACUAAGUCCCACCUCUCUUGAGGAGGAAAAUGAGGUCCAGAGAAAAGAAGUGAUUGGACACAGCCAACUCAACAAUCCAGAUCCCCCGUCUCAGGCCACACACUGCCAGCAGCAAUCAACAGGGGUUUAGCAGCUGUGUCUUGGCAGGAACAGCGCUUGGGGGUGACACUGGGAGGGUGGAAAGGACCUAAAGCGCCAAGAACAGCCACAGAGGCACAUCCUGCCCAUCCCCCAGUCUCCCCGAAAACAAUUUACAGCCAAAUUCCAACAACUGCUCCCAGCCCUACCCCACGCAGCUGCACAAGGAGGCAGCCAAGGCUGGGUGGAGACCCACUGCAGAGUGCACAGUCAGCAGUCAUCUGUCACUGCAAGGGCACCAGCACCAUGCAAUCAUGGUGACAAACUCAAACCAAAGAAACUGGGCCCAAGGAAAAAUAAUUAAUAGAGCAAUCAGAGCAGAACUUUAAGAGAGAUCUUCAGAGGGGUGACAGAAGCUACAGCGUCCACGCAGAAAGAAGAGGCAGCUGUGACUACACAUCAGCUGAGAUCCUGCAACAAAAGACAACAGGGAAGCAGAAGAGCAUCUGAACCACUGGAGAACUGGUAAGCUGGGCGACAGCAGCAAACGACAUCCGGCUACAUGCCUGUCCACGGCGGCAGCCAGAUACAAAUAAUAAAAGCAACAGACAAACCGAAGAAGAGUUAGGGCAAAGAAAAGCUGAACAGCACCAUGAGUAACUUUGACCCAAACAGAGAACUUUUUUUCCAAACACAUAAUACCCUCCCAACUUGACUAGGUGUUAGGCCACAAGGGAAAUAUCAGUAAGUUCCACCACAUUUAUCGGCACAAUGGAAAAAAUAAAUUAAAAACCCCCAAAGUCCACUGACCUGACAAAAAUAAAAAUCUAAAAAUUUAGUAGGUCCAGGAAGUUGAAACAGAUAGAACUUUUGAAUCCAAAAAGGAAAUAUACAAAAUUGAAAUAUGGAGGAAAAAAAAAGUAUCAGAAUCUAUGAGUGGUAUGGUACUCCGAAGAAAGAAACAUGAAGCUUUAAAUAUAUUUCUUAAUUAUGCAAAAUGAUUUAAAAUAAAAGAGCUAAGCAUUCAAUUCAAACGAGAAACAGAAAAAUGAGGUAGAAGUUACUGAGGAGAUAAAUUGAUAAAAUUGCAAAUAAAUGGUGAAAAGAUAAUGAAAAAACAAAACACUAGUUCUUUUGGAAAGACUUUAAAAAGGUAAAUAAGUCUUUAGUAAAUAUAAUUAAGAAAAAAGUAUACAAGUAAACAUCACGAAUUUUAAAAAUUUACCUAGAGCUAUAGAGUAUCAGAAAUGAGAGUAGCAUGCUACUUAUUAAAUAUGAAUACACAAUUAAAAUGACAAUUUUCUAGGAAAAUAGAGAUUACCAAAAUUGGCCCAAGAAAAAGUAGAAAAUCUGAAUAGAAAAAUAAACUAGAUAAAACUGAAACCACAAUCAAAAGUCCUCACCAAUGAUAUUCCACCUAAGAGCACCAGGCCCAGAUAGUUUUACUGGUGAAUUCUACCAAACUUUAAGAAACAGAAAAUGUCCAUCUUAUAUACAAACUGUUUCACCACAUACAAAAAUACUAAAAGCUAACUAGCUCCUUCCACAAAGCAAACAUAUUCUUGAUAACAAAAUCCAUCAAGAACAGCAGAGCAAAAAAACUGUAGCCCAAUCUCACUUAAAAACAGAGCUGUAAGCAUAUUUCAUAAAGUAUUAGUAAACAGAACUAGAUAUAUUCAUGGAAAUAAAUAAACUUUCACCCUUUUUGUGGUGUUAUUUAUAUAUGUGUGUGCAUGCGUAUAUAUGGAGAGAGAGAGAGAGAGAGACAGAGAGCGAGAGAAUGUUUUUUUUUUUUUCCAUCUGGUUCCUGGCUCCUAACUCCCACGGUCCUAGUGCUGGUCUUUUGUUAUAAUGUUGGGUGCGUCGGGCCUCAGGAAACAAUCUCUUCACCUGCCCCUCCUUCCACCUGCCCCAAGGUAGGACUCUCAUCUUCCCUGCUUUGGGACUGUGGGUCUUAAGAUCCUCCCCAGUGAGGGUCCCACCCUAUACCCUGGGAGAAGAAAUGCUGACCUCCUGAAGCUUCCAUAAAAACUGGGUUGGGGGAGCUUCCAAAUAGUUGAGUGCAUGGCAGUUCCUGGAGGGUAGUGAGGCAGGGAGGUCACAGAGGCUCGCACCCCUUCCCUCAUACCUCACCCUACACAUCUCUUCAUCCAUAUCCCUUGUAAUAACCUCAUAAACUGCUAAUCAUCCGUGUUUUCCUGAGUUCUGUAAGUUACUCUAGCAAAUUAAUCAGACCCAAAGAGGCACUGUGGGAACCCCAAAUUGAAGCCGGUUGGUCAGAAGUUCCAGAGGCCCGGACUUGUGACUGGUGUGGGGUGGGGAGUGGUCUUGGGAACUGAGCCCCAAACGUGUGGCAUCUAACACUAUCUCCAGGUAGACAGGGUCAGGAAUUGAAUCGGCCAGGGGUCACUGCUUGGUGCCUGGGGAAAAACCACCACACAUUUGAUCACAGAAGUCUUCUGUGUUGAUGGCAUGGAAUGAGAGCAAAGGAAAAACAUGGUUUCAGUUUUCUUGAAACAUCAUAUAUAAAAAUUAAACCACAAAAAUUGAUCCUAGAGUUAGGGAAUCAAAGUUAAAACCAAAAAUCUUCUAGAGGCAAACACAGGAGAAAAUCUUUGGGACCUUGGGGUAGGCCAGUUGUUCUCAAUUGGAUGUGAUUUUGCCCCCUCCCCUCCAGGGCCUUUGAUAUGUCUGGAGACAUUUUUAUUUGUUACCACUGGGGGAGGGGAAGUGGUAGAGUACAGUCUUGACAUCUAGUGAGUAGAGGCCAGGAAUGCUGGCUGACAUCCUACAAUGCCCAGGAUAGCUCUCCAAACAAAAAAUUACCCAGGUCAAAUGUCACUAGUUUUAAGGUUGAUUUCUUAAGCUACCAAAAGCACAAACCAUAAAAAUUUAUAGUCCAUCAAAUUUUUUUUAAAUCUGUUCUUCAAAGGAUAUCACUGAGAAAAUUUAAAGGCAAGGCAAAGACUGGAAGAAAAUACUCAUACCUUACACAUAUCUAAGAAAGAACUUGUACCCAGAAGACACGAGGAGCUCCUAAAGCUCAAUAAGGAGAAGUACCCAAAAACAAUUUUUAAGGGGUAAAAGGAGCAAAAUAUGAUUUUUAAAGGAUACUACAAAAAAUACCCGAACAGUCAGUAAGUACAUGAUGAUGGUGAACAUCAUCCAGGAUUCCAAUAAAUACAAGAAAAGAUGUUCCUUUCUUGCUCAACAUCAUGAGUCAGCAGAGAUGAAAACUGAAAGCACACUGAGAUACCAUUACAACUCCACUCGAAUGGCUAAACCUAAGACUGGCAGGUGUUGACAAGGAUAUAGAACUGGAACUCUCAUACAUCGCUGGUGGAAAUGCAAAAUGGUAAUUCAGCAUUACAGUUUGGCGGUUCUCAUAAAGUCAAACAGCUACUACGUCCACCUCCUCAUACACCAUUCAUGACCAGUUAGGGCAUUAGCAAGAGCUCUCUGUGGCUAGGACAAUCAAAAGAAGAAAAGGAAGAAGAAGAACACCUGCGAAGUGAUGAGCUACUCUCUGCCACUAGGCUCAGUUCUAGAGCCUGCUCAAUUCUUUCCCCAAUACAAUAGUUUAUAUACCAAGAUCAAAAUACAGAAGGGAACAUCUCAAUUAUUUCUCUCAGCCCCAUCUUUUAAAAAUCCCUCUCUCUAUGAAAUGCUGAUAAAAGAUGUGAGGCCUAACUCAGGCAUUCAUUUCCUGGGCAUCUGUCAGGAUGCUGUUCUGAGAAUUAAUCCAUGAGAUCUAAUGUAACCAUAAUUAACAACCUUAGGCUUCCACAUACAUUUACUGUGGAAAGAAAUGCACACACACAAAUGGAUGUGAUCCAGGUUUAACAUGUGGCCCAAAUUAGGCAUAUAAGCACUGUUCCUUUGGAAAAAUUACAGGGGAAAAAAAAUUCUCCUUAGAGACAGUAACUUAACCAACCUCAACUCCCAGCUGGCUUCAUUAUUCUCUUGUCCUCAAUAUAAUAAAAACUUUCUAGCAUUUAUACCUAAACAAUCUGGGGAAAACUUGUCCUGUAUAAAUUUUGAAGUUCUUAACUACCUUAAAUCUAACCAUCCCAAUGCAUUAUUUUAUCAUUAGUGCACACUGUUAAGACCUCACUCAUUAAGCAUCUUGUUAACACCUAACUAAAGUGUGGAAACUUGCAUAUUACAUAUAUGACAUUUUACAAAGUUUAAAGCAUAUGGUAAUAAGUAAAGCUACUGACAAGCUGAGAUCACUUUAGAUACUGUUGCUGGUUUUGCAUGGCCUGGCCUCUGCUCCCCUCCUCCUGAAUGCCCCCUCUUCUUGCUCUACUGUUCCUGCCCUUCACUCACCGUCAGACACUCUUUCCUGCCCCAGGUCUUCUUUACAGGCCAGUCCCACAGCCUAUCACAUUAGCCUCAGGAAACAAGUUUUCUACUAACUUUGUACUAGCAUAUCACCUCCCAAGAAACACCUGCAUAAGAAUCAUUAACUUCUAACUCAGCACAAGGAUCACCUGGCACAGUAACCCACUUGACACUUGAAAAAUGCUGUGCUGAGUCUCUCCAAAAACCAUGCGCUUAUUUAAUGCACUGCUUCAAGCCAGAUACACUUUGGGAAAUUGGCCUUUGCCGUGCCUGCUGUUCAAUGCACAACUCAGAGGGCAGGCCCCUCCACGUGCAUGGACACAGUUAAAGCUGCUGCUGAAACCAUGCUGUCUCCUUCAUCCCUCCCCAGUAACUAACUGCACCAGGAACCGCACCCCAUCCCAGGAGUGCUCAGAGCCAAAGGUCACCUUGAAGCUUUGCCCCCCACAAGAUGCCUGGCAGGCACCCCUGAAGCAGGUCCGCAUGUCCCUCUUGUUGGUCUAAGCGACUGCA